GACGAACGCUGGCGGCGUGCUUAACACAUGCAAGUCGAACGGAAAGGCCCUGCUUUUGUGGGGUGCUCGAGUGGCGAACGGGUGAGUAACACGUGAGAAACCUGCCCUUGACUUUGGGAUAACUUCAGGAAACUGGGGCUAAUACCGGAUAGGAGCUCCUGCUGCAUGGUGGGGGUUGGAAAGUUUGGGCGGUUGGGGAUGGACUCGCGGCUUAUCAGCUUGUUGGUGGGGUAGUGGCUUACCAAGGCUUUGACGGGUAGCCGGCCUGAGAGGGUGACCGGCAACAUUGGGACUGGGAUACGGCCCAGACUCCUACGGGAGGCAGCAGUGGGGAAUAUUGCACAAUGGGCGGAAGCCUAAUGCAGCAACGCCGCGUGCGGGAUGACGGCCUUCGGGUUGUAAACCGCUUUCGCCUGUGACGAAGCGUGAGUGACGGUAAUGGGUAAAGAAGCACCGGCUAACUACGUG
rnacentral:rRNA from 1 species